AACGAACGCUGGCGGCGUGCCUAACACAUGCAAGUCGUACGAGAAAUCCUGAGCAAUCGGGAGAGUAAAGUGGCGCACGGGUGAGUAACGCGUGGGUAACCUAUCCUUGAAUCCGGGAUAACUCCGCGAAAGCGGGGCUAAUACCAGAUAAUAUUUCGAUUCCCUCGGAAGUUGAAAUCAAAGAUGGCCUCUGCAUGCAAGCUAUUGUUUAAGGAUGGGCCCGCGUACCAUUAGCUAGUUGGGAGGGUAAUAGCCUACCAAGGCAACGAUGGUUAGCUGGUCUGAGAGGAUGGUCAGCCACACUGGAACUGAGACACGGUCCAGACUCCUACGGGUGGCAG
rnacentral:rRNA from 1 species